rnacentral:rRNA from 1 species
CACCGCCUGUCACACUAUAGGAGCUGGCCAUGUUUGAAGUCGUUACCCUUAACCGUAAGGAGGGGGGUGCCUAAGGAUAGGCUUGCGACUGGAGUGAAGUCGUAACAAGGUAGCCGUACUGGAAGGUGCGGCUG